rnacentral:rRNA from 1 species
GAUGAACGCUGGCGGCGUGCUUAACACAUGCAAGUCGAACGGAGUGCCUUUGAAAGAGGAUUCGUCCAAUUGAUAAGGUUACUUAGUGGCGGACGGGUGAGUAACGCGUGAGGAACCUGCCUCAAAGAGGGGGACAACAGUUGGAAACGACUGCUAAUAUCCCAUAACACAAUUUGUGGCAUCGCAGAUUGUUAAAAGAGAAUCGGAUACGGAUAGGCUCGCGUGACAUUAGCUAGUUGGAGUGGUAACGGCACACCAAGGCGACGAUGUCUAGGGGUUCUGAGAGGAAGGUCCCCCACACUGGAACUAGAGACACGGUCCAG